rnacentral:rRNA from 1 species
UACGUAGGCAGCGAGCGUUGUUCGGAGUUACUGGGCGUAAAGCGUGCGUAGGCGGUGGCCCAAGUCUGGUGUGAAAUCCCCCGGCUCAACCGGGACGGCCGUGGAUACUGGGAGCCUCGAGGGAGAUAGGGGCAGGCGGAACUGAUGGUGGAGCGGUGAAAUGCGUUGAUAUCAUCAGGAACUCCGGUGGCGAAGGCGGCCUGCUGGACCUCAUCUGACGCUGAUGCGCGAAAGCCAGGGGAGCAAACGGG